rnacentral:tRNA from 1 species
UGGGUUGUGGCUCAGUGGUAGAGUGCUUGCCUAGCAUGUGUGAGGCAUUGGGUUCGAUCCCCAGCUCCACAU